rnacentral:rRNA from 1 species
CGGGAAAAGCUCAAAUUUAAAAUCUGGUGGCCGAAAGGUUGCCCGAGUUGUAAUUUAAAGAAGCGUUUUCGGUGGCAGCCUGGGUAUAAAUCCUUUGGAAUAGGGUAUCAUAGAGGGUGAGAAUCCCGUCUUUGACCUAGUGCAUGCUACUAUGUGAUACGUUUUCAAA